CCCCAUGGAGCUUUAAACCCGACAGCACCCGCUUAUUUUAAGCCCAAUUAUACGCCCGUACCUGUCUGCUCGGUUUUAGGUUGGGGUGACCACGGAGUAUAAAGUAACCUCCAUGAANAAAGGGGUAAGUACCCUUAUUAGAGAAAAACACUUCCAAAAACUAACAAAUUAAUUUUUAAUGAUCCGAUAUUCGAUCAACGAACCAAGUUACCCUGGGGAUAACAGCGCAAUCCACCUCGAGAGCUCCUAUCGACAGGNGGGUUUACNACCUCGAUGUUGGAUCAGGGUAUCCCAGUGGUGCAGCAGCUACCAAAGGUUCGUUUGUUCAACGAUUAAAACCCU
rnacentral:rRNA from 1 species